UCUUCGGCAAUGGACGCAAGUCUGACCGAGCAACGCCGCGUGAGUGAAGAAGGUUUUCGGAUCGUAAAACUCUGUUGUAGGAGAAGAACGUUGAUGAGAGUGGAAAGUUCAUCAAGUGACGGUAUCUUACCAGAAAGCCACGGCUAACUACGUGCCAGCAGCCGCGGUAAUACGUAGGUGGCAAGCGUUGUCCGGAUUUAUUGGGCGUAAAGCGAGCGCAGGCGGUUGAUUAAGUUUGAUGUGAAAGCCCCCGGCUCAACCGGGGAGGGUCAUUGGAAACUGGUCAACUUGAGUGCAGAAGAGGAGAGUGGAAUUCCAUGUGUAGCGGUGAAAUGCGUAGAUAUAUGGAGGAACACCAGUGGCGAAGGCGGCUCUCUGGUCUUAACUGACGCUGAGGCUCGAAG
rnacentral:rRNA from 1 species